rnacentral:rRNA from 1 species
CUACGGGCCGCUGCAGUGGGGAAUAUUGGACAAUGGGCGAAAGCCUGAUCCAGCCAUGCCGCGUGAGUGAUGAAGGCCCUAGGGUUGUAAAGCUCUUUCGCCAGGGACGAUAAUGACGGUACCUGGAUAAGAAGCCCCGGCUAACUUCGUGCCAGCAGCCGCGGUAAUACGAAGGGGGCUAGCGUUGUUCGGAAUCACUGGGCGUAAAGCGCACGUAGGCGGAUCUUUAAGUCAGGGGUGAAAUCCCGAGGCUCAACCUCGGAACUGCCUUUGAUACUGGAGGUCUCGAGUCCGGGAGAGGUGAGUGGAACUGCGAGUGUAGAGGUGAAAUUCGUAGAUAUUCGCAAGAACACUAGUGGCGAAGGCGGCUCACUGGCCCGGUACUGACGCUGAGGUGCGAAAGCGUGGGGAGCAAACAGGAUUAGAUACCCGUGUAGUC